GACGAACGCUGGCGGCGUGCUUAACACAUGCAAGUCGAGCGGUAAGGCCCUUUCGGGGGUACACGAGCGGCGAACGGGUGAGUAACACGUGGGUGACCUGCCUUUAGCUCUGGGAUAAGCCUGGGAAACUGGGUCUAAUACCGGAUACGACUCCGCGGUGCAUGCUGUGGGGUGGAAAGCCUUGUGCGGCUGGAGAUGGGCCCGCGGCCUAUCAGCCUGUUGGUGGGGUGAUGGCCUACCAAGGCGACGACGGGUAGCCGGCCUGAGAGGGCGACCGGCCACACUGGGACUGAGACACGGCCCAGACUCCUACGGGAGGCAGCAGUGGGGAAUCUUGCGCAAUGGGCGAAAGCCUGACGCAGCGACGCCGCGUGAGGGAUGACGGCCU
rnacentral:rRNA from 1 species